AAGGGUAUAGUUCAAGUGGUAGAGCGCACGCUUAGCAUUCAUGAGGUCCUGGGUUCAAUCCCCAGUACCUCUA
rnacentral:tRNA from 1 species